GUCUCCAUGGCGCAAUCGGUUAGCGCGUUCGGCUGUUAACCGAAAGGUUGAUGGUUUAAGUCCAUCUAGGGACG
rnacentral:tRNA from 1 species